AUGGAGUUAGGACUGAGCUGGGUUUUCUUUGCUGCUCUUUUACAAAGUGUUCUGUGUGAAGUGCAGCUGGUGGAGUUUGGGGGAGGCUUGGUGAAACCUGGAGGGUCCUUGAAACUCUCCUGCAUAGCCUCUGGAUUCACCAUCAAUGGCUAUGGCAUGAGUUGGGUCCGCCAGGCUCCAGGGAAGGGGCUGGAGUGGGUGGCAAGUACAGAGUAUGCUUUAAGUGAUCACGAAUUAGAGCUUGUGGAAAGCACAUAUUAUGCAGACUCUGUGAAAGGCCUAUUCACCAUCUUCAGAGACAAUGAGAAGAACACUGUGUCCCUGCAAAUGAGCAGUCUGAGAUCUGAGGACACGGCCAUGUAUUACUGUGUGAGACCCACAGUGAGGGGAAUUCAGUGUGGCCAUGCACAAAAUUCGCUUUGA